rnacentral:lncRNA from 1 species
GUCAGCGUCUAUAUAAUGUCUCCAAAGCAAACCACUUCCCACUCAAUUAAUUUCCGUUCAAAUCCCCAAUCCCUCCUGGCCGAUUUUUUCUCUCUGUUAAUUGCCGCCGUGUGUUCUACUCCCGACGGCUACCCCCGGACUUUUUCUCCAGUUAAUUCUUCUGUCCAUCCAAGGUCAAGCCCAAAUUUUUAUUUGUUGUGCUUCUUAAUUUGACGAUUGGGCCUGAUAUUAGGGAUUCGAACUAGUUCCGGUUUGAGAUGUAACUGAUUGAUUAAUUGAUCAAUUGAUUUGUUCUUGAAAAUAGGUCGAGGAACACUACUGAUUCCUAGUAUCGGUUUUUUUUUUUUUUUUUUUUUUUUUAAACGAAGCAGAUUUAAACGGGUUACAUUUACUCAUAUGAUCCAUGCAGUUUUCUUACUUAUUUGUGUCUUUUAGAUUUGAAUUAAUGGAAUUUUAAUGAGGAAUAAAUCUUGUAGGGCUUAUGGUACGAAGACGAAUGAUGAGACAUUUAUUAGCUAAUUGGAUUAAAAAGUUCUCUAUGAGAAGGAGUGCUUGAUACUUAUAUUCGUUUAUCUUAAUCGACCAAUUGAUUUAUUAUUAGAAAUAGGUGGAGGAACAUUAUUGAUUCAAAUAAUCGAUUUUUCUGGAAACGGAACAGUCAAUAUUAUUUAAACGGGUUAUAUUUUAGAGACAAUUUCAUGAUUCUUGUAGUGUUCUUGCUUAUUCAGUCUCUUUUAGAGUUGAGUGAAAGGAUAUCUAAUGAGGAAUAUUACAUGCUGUGGCUGUACCCUUCUGUUAUACUAACUUGUAGGGCUUGUAGUAUGAAGACAAAUAAUGGAACAUUUUUUAGCUACAUUGGAAUUAAUAAGUAAAUUAAUGAGAAAGAGUGCUAGACAGUGAUAAUCUAGCAGAAAUGUUUUUGGAGAACUUAGAAACUCUGCCGUCUCGAAUUAGGGUAUCUGCUUACUAUGUUGAUAAGGCUAAGUAUGAAGACAGUAAUGGGACUUCAAUCAUGAUUUUGGUAUACCUGGGUGCAAAACAGGUAAGGGAAACAACCUCUUUGCACUCCACCCUCUCCAGGACUCCACAUUGUGGGAUCAUGCUCGAUGUGCUGUUGUUUUUGAGUUCAAAACAGGAUAAAGUUACUUCUUUGUGAACUUAAACUUUAUUAGUAUAAAUUGGGAGUUAAGUUAUAUUUUCGUAAUGUGAUGUUGAAAAGGAAUCGAGUGAUUGGAAUGUUUCUUCCUUAAUAUUAGUUGAUGCAUCUUUGGAUGAAGGAAAAAGAAAAGUAGGGAAGGUCCUUGAAAGAGGGAUUGUAUAAGUUGACCACUUUCUGAGAAAAGAAAUUCACUUUUAUAAUCUGUGUUGUGUUGCGGAAAGUACCUAUGAGGGAAAGCUUAAAUGCUACUUCUAGAAAAAUUUGUACUUGUUAGGAUGCUUCAUUCACUCAGUAUGCAUUGGUUUGUUUAAUGUCUCUGCCUGGCUAGGAUUUUGAAUGGCAGUUUUCUAUUGUUUAUCAGAUGUCAUCAUUUCAAGACAGCUUGCAAAAGUUCAAGAAGCAGCAAGAGAAGUGUCAAUCUACUCUUGUU